UACGAAGGGGGCUAGCGUUGCUCGGAAUCACUGGGCGUAAAGCGCACGUAGGCGGGUUGUUAAGUCAGGGGUGAAAUCCUGGAGCUCAACUCCAGAACUGCCUUUGAUACUGGCAACCUAGAGACUGGAAGAGGUUAGUGGAAUUCCCAGUGUAGAGGUAAAAUUCGUAGAUAUUGGGAAGAACACCAGUGGCGAAGGCGGCUAACUGGUCCAGCACUGACGCUGAGGUGCGAAAGCGUGGGGAGCAAACAGG
rnacentral:rRNA from 1 species